CCAGUGUGCAGUGGUAUGGCCAAACCAGAGGGGCCCUCUGCCCCAGCUGACCAGACGCCCUGGCUUCCGGCAACCAGCCACUAAAGGGUUAACACCCUCCUAAUAGGGACCGCCUCCCCUCCUCCCAUCCCCCCACCCUGCCGCUCUACUGGUCGCUCUACUGGUCGUUAGAGAAUUUGGCCAUCACCUCUUCAUUCACUCCAUCAUUCAAAAACAUCUAUUGCAAACCUACAGUGAGCCAGGUCCCAUGCUAGGUGCUGCCCUCAAUGUGUUCCCAAGCCUGUAGGGGAGAGACUUCCAAAUAUGGAUUAACACAGCGUGACAGGUGUCACAAUAGAGGCCUGCAGACUCUCCUGGGGGUCUCCAUGGUGGUGGGAAAGGUCUGCCUGGGGAGGAGUCUCAGAGGAGGAAUGCAAACUGGGUCUUGAAGGGAUCAGCAAUUCUAAACAAUGUCAGUGACAAAAUCUUCUUCCUCCUAAAACACCUUCUGUUGGUCUGCAUUCAAUGAGUUUUAAGAACACAGCAAGGAGACCAGAUUUUCUUCAUUUUUUAAAGCCUUGGAGAUCAAACAAAGGACACUGGAUUAAAUGCAGCAGGAAGGAUCAGGGCUCAAAAGAAAGAAUUGCCAGUUUGGUGGAUUCAGCACAGGGAUCACCUCCUCCAGGAAGCCCUCCCUCAGGGCUCUGAGCACACAGCAGUGAACUCUGGGGUUCAGCUCCUUCCCUCUCGAGACUGCAGAUCCUUUGAGAGGGGACGUCUGUCAACAAACUCUAGGGAUCCCUCGCUGUUCCAGGCACUGUGCUAGGCUCUGAGGAUGGAGCAGUGAACAAGACCCACCCACAUCUUACGGUCCUGACAGGCUCGGUGGAGAGGCAAAGGGGCUGCUCACGCCUCCAGUGAAGACGGGCACGCUGCAUCUCUGAGCGCCAGGCUCCUCCUCUCCUUCUGUGGCCCUGAGCAGCAGCUGCAAUUAAGGAGAUCCUGGGCACUGACUUCUGGGAAAGGGAGGAUGUUCUCCCAGACAGAUCAGGAUGCUGGAAUUGUCUGCCUCUUCUUUGCUCCUGCCCCUCCUUGUUUUCCAUUGCACAGGACACACCUGCCGCCUGGACCGUUUAGGUACAUGGUGUGUUUACUACCGUUCCUGAGAUCAGGCGAGUUUCGGAUUUGUUUUUAAGAUGCUACAAGAGAGCUUAAAGGUCACCUUGUCCAACUGACCUGGCCUGCUCGAGCUUCAAGCUUCUCUCUGAUUGCCGCCCAGCUUCAGAGGAUACCUUAGGUGGCAAGAAGCACUAUCUCUCAGCAUGGUCCAAUUAUUCACUGGCCACUUCGGAAUGUUUAUUGAUUCAUUCAAUCAAAUGGUAUGUAUUGAAUGCUACAUUCUGAGCACUUACUAGUCACUAGGAAAUAAAUCAGUGAACAAAAC
rnacentral:lncRNA from 1 species